rnacentral:rRNA from 1 species
UACGGAGGGUGCGAGCGUUAAUCGGAAUUACUGGGCGUAAAGCGCACGUAGGUGGCUACGUAAGUCGAUUGUGAAAGCCCCGGGCUUAACCUGGGAACUGCAGUCGAUACUGCGUUGCUAGAGUGUGGUAGAGGGAAGCGGAAUUCCGGGUGUAGCGGUGAAAUGCGUAGAUAUCCGGAGGAACACCAGUGGCGAAGGCGGCUUCCUGGACCAACACUGACGCUGAGGUGCGAAAGCGUGGGGAGCAAACAGG